CAUGAACGCUGGCGGCGUGCCUAAUACAUGCAAGUCGAACGAGUUCUCGUUGAUGAUCGGUGCUUGCACCGAGAUUCAACAUGGAACGAGUGGCGGACGGGUGAGUAACACGUGGGUAACCUGCCCUUAAGUGGGGGAUAACAUUUGGAAACAGAUGCUAAUACCGCAUAGAUCCAAGAACCGCAUGGUUCUUGGCUGAAAGAUGGCGUAAGCUAUCGCUUUUGGAUGGACCCGCGGCGUAUUAGCUAGUUGGUGAGGUAAUGGCUCACCAAGGCGAUGAUACGUAGCCGAACUGAGAGGUUGAUCGGCCACAUUGGGACUGAGACACGGCCCAAACUCCUACGGGAGGCAGCAGUAGGGAAUCUUCCACAAUGGACGCAAGUCUGAUGGAGCAACGCCGCGUGAGUGAAGAAGGCUUUCGGGUCGUAAAACUCUGUUGUUGGAGAAGAAUGGUCGGCAGAGUAACUGUUGUCGGCGUGACGGUAUCCAACCAGAAAGCCACGGCUAACUACGUGCCAGCAGCCGCGGUAAUACGUAGGUGGCAAGCGUUAUCCGGAUUUAUUGGGCGUAAAGCGAGCGCAGGCGGUUUUUUAAGUCUGAUGUGAAAGCCCUCGGCUUAACCGAGGAAGCGCAUCGGAAACUGGGAAACUUGAGUGCAGAAGAGGACAGUGGAACUCCAUGUGUAGCGGUGAAAUGCGUAGAUAUAUGGAAGAACACCAGUGGCGAAGGCGGCUGUCUGGUCUGUAACUGACGCUGAGGCUCGAAAGCAUGGGUAGCGAACAGGAUUAGAUACCCUGGUAGUCCAUGCCGUAAACGAUGAUUGGAGGGUUUCCGCCCUUCAGUGCCGCAGCUAACGCAUUAAGCAUUCCGCCUGGGGAGUACGACCGCAAGGUUGAAACUCAAAGGAAUUGACGGGGGCCCGCACAAGCGGUGGAGCAUGUGGUUUAAUUCGAAGCAACGCGAAGAACCUUACCAGGUCUUGACAUCUUUUGAUCACCUGAGAGAUCAGGUUUCCCCUUCGGGGGCAAAAUGACAGGUGGUGCAUGGUUGUCGUCAGCUCGUGUCGUGAGAUGUUGGGUUAAGUCCCGCAACGAGCGCAACCCUUAUGACUAGUUGCCAGCAUUUAGUUGGGCACUCUAGUAAGACUGCCGGUGACAAACCGGAGGAAGGUGGGGAUGACGUCAAAUCAUCAUGCCCCUUAUGACCUGGGCUACACACGUGCUACAAUGGAUGGUACAACGAGUUGCGAGACCGCGAGGUCAAGCUAAUCUCUUAAAGCCAUUCUCAGUUCGGACUGUAGGCUGCAACUCGCCUACACGAAGUCGGAAUCGCUAGUAAUCGCGGAUCAGCACGCCGCGGUGAAUACGUUGCCCGGGCCUUGUACACACCGCCCGUCACAACCAUGAGAGUUUGUAACACCCGAAGCCGGUGGCGUAACCCUUUUAGGGAGCGAGCCGUCUAAGGUGGGACAAAUGAUUAGGGUGAAG
rnacentral:rRNA from 1 species